rnacentral:rRNA from 1 species
GACGAACGCUGGCGGCGCGCUUAACACAUGCAAGUCGAACGGAAAGGCCCUGCUUUUGUGGGGUGCUCGAGUGGCGAACGGGUGAGUAACACGUGAGUAACCUGCCCUUGACUUUGGGAUAACUUCAGGAAACUGGGGCUAAUACCGGAUAGGAGCUCCUGCUGCAUGGUGGGGGUUGGAAAGUUUCGGCGGUUGGGGAUGGACUCGCGGCUUAUCAGCUUGUUGGUGGGGUAGUGGCUUACCAAGGCUUUGACGGGUAGCCGGCCUGAGAGGGUGACCGGCCACAUUGGGACUGAGAUACGGCCCAGACUCCUACGGGAGGCAGCAGUGGGGAAUAUUGCACAAUGGGCGGAAGCCUGAUGCAGCAACGCCGCGUGCGGGAUGACGGCCUUCGGGUUGUAAACCGCUUUCGCCUGUGACGAAGCGUGAGUGACGGUAAUGGGUAAAGAAGCACCGGCUAACUACGUGCCAGCAGCCGCGGUGAUACGUAGGGUGCGAGCGUUGUCCGGAUUUAUUGGGCGUAAAGGGCUCGUAGGUGGUUGAUCGCGUCGGAAGUGUAAUCUUGGGGCUUAACCCUGAGCGUGCUUUCGAUACGGGUUGACUUGAGGAAGGUAGGGGAGAAUGGAAUUCCUGGUGGAGCGGUGGAAUGCGCAGAUAUCAGGAGGAACACCAGUGGCGAAGGCGGUUCUCUGGGCCUUUCCUGACGCUGAGGAGCGAAAGCGUGGGGAGCGAACAGGCUUAGAUACCCUGGUAGUCCACGCUGUAAACGGUGGGUACUAGGUGUGGGGUCCAUUCCACGGGUUCCGUGCCGUAGCUAACGCUUUAAGUACCCCGCCUGGGGAGUACGGCCGCAAGGCUAAAACUCAAAGGAAUUGACGGGGCCCCGCACAAGCGGCGGAGCAUGCGGAUUAAUUCGAUGCAACGCGUAGAACCUUACCUGGGUUUGACAUGGAUCGGGAGUGCUCAGAGAUGGGUGUGCCUCUUUUGGGGUCGGUUCACAGGUGGUGCAUGCCUGUCGUCAGCUCGUGUCGUGAGAUGUUGGGUUAAGUCCCGCAACGAGCGCAACCCUUGUUCACUGUUGCCAGCACGUUAUGGUGGGGACUCAGUGGAGACCGCCGGGGUCAACUCGGAGGAAGGUGGGGAUGACGUCAAGUCCUCAUGCCCCUUAUGUCCAGGGCUUCACGCAUGCUACAAUGGCUGGUACAGAGAGUGGCGAGCCUGUGAGGGUGAGCGAAUCUCGGAAAGCCGGUCUCAGUUCGGAUUGGGGUCUGCAACUCGACCUCAUGAAGUCGGAGUCGCUAGUAAUCGCAGAUCAGCAACGCUGCGGUGAAUACGUUCCCGGG